rnacentral:rRNA from 1 species
GCGCACGGGUGAGUAACACGUAUGUAACCUGCCCUCUGCAGGGGGAUAAGCGGAAGAAAUUCCGUCUAAUACCGCAUAAUACAAUUUGGAGACAUCUCCGGGUUGUCAAAGGAGUGAUCCGGCAGAGGAUGGACAUGCGGCGCAUUAGCUAGUCGGCGGGGUAACGGCCCACCGAGGCUACGAUGCGUAGGGGUUCUGAGAGGAAGGUCCCCCACACUGGUACUGAGACACGGACCAGACUCCUACGGGAGGCAGCAGUAAGGAAUAUUGGUCAAUGGGCGGAAGCCUGAACCAGCCAAGUCGCGUGAGGGAAGACGGUCCUAUGGAUUGUAAACCUCUUUUGCAGGGGAGCAAGGCGCGGUACGUGUACCGCGAAGGAGAGUACCCUGAGAAAAAGCAUCGGCUAACUCCGUGCCAGCAGCCGCGGUAAUACGGAGGAUGCGAGCGUUAUCCGGAUUUAUUGGGUUUAAAGGGUGCGCAGGCGGACUGUUAAGUCAGCGGUAAAAUGUCGGUGCUCAACACCGGCCGGCCGUUGAAACUGGCAGCCUUGAGUGAGCGAGAAGUAUGCGGAAUGCGUGGUGUAGCGGUGAAAUGCAUAGAUAUC